rnacentral:rRNA from 1 species
GAUGAACGCUAGCUACAGGCUUAACACAUGCAAGUCGAGGGGUAACGAGAGGAAAGCUUGCUUUCCUUGUCGACGACCGGCGCACGGGUGAGUAACGCGUAUCCAACCUGCCCCCAACUAGGGAAUAACCUUGCGAAAGUAAGACUAAUACCCUAUAAUUUCCUCAGAUGACAUCUGACGAGGAAUAAAGAUUUAUCGGUUGUGGAUGGGGAUGCGUCUGAUUAGCUUGUUGGCGGGGUAACGGCCCACCAAGGCAACGAUCAGUAGGGGUUUUGAGAGGAAGGUCCCCCACAAUGGAACUGAGACACGGUCCAAAAUACUACGGGAGGCAGCAGUGAGGAAUAUUGGUCAAUGGGCGAAAGCCUGAACCAGCCAAGUAGCGUGCAGGAUGACGGCCCUAUGGGUUGUAAACUGCUUUUAUACAGGAAUAAAGUUAGCCACGUGUGGUUAUUUGUAGGUACUGUAUGAAUAAGGACCGGCUAAUUCCGUGCCAGCCGCCGCGGUAA